GCAAUAGUGGCUGAAAUUAAGCAAAAGACUGUAAAUCUUUCAAUGGCAAAAAAGCCCAUUGCAA
rnacentral:tRNA from 1 species